rnacentral:rRNA from 1 species
CCAGACUCCUACGGGAGGCAGCAGUGGGGAAUAUUGGGCAAUGGGCGCAAGCCUGACCCAGCAACGCCGCGUGAAGGAAGAAGGCUUUCGGGUUGUAAACUUCUUUUCUCAGGGACGAAGCAAGUGACGGUACCUGAGGAAUAAGCCACGGCUAACUACGUGCCAGCAGCCGCGGUAAUACGUAGGUGGCAAGCGUUAUCCGGAUUUACUGGGUGUAAAGGGCGUGUAGGCGGGAAAGCAAGUCAGAUGUGAAAACCAUGGGUUCAACCUGUGGCCUGCAUUUGAAACUGUUUUUCUUGAGUACUGGAGAGGCAGACGGAAUUCCUAGUGUAGCGGUGAAAUGCGUAGAUAUACGGAGGAACACCAGUGGCGAAGGCGGCCUGCUGGACAUUAACUGACGCUGAGGCGCGAAAGCAUGGGGAGCAAACAGGAUUAGAUACCCGAGUAAG